rnacentral:rRNA from 1 species
GAUGAACGCUGGCGGCGUGCUUAACACAUGCAAGUCGAACGGAAAGGCCCAAGCUUGCUUGGGUACUCGAGUGGCGAACGGGUGAGUAACACGUGGGUGAUCUGCCCUGCACUUCGGGAUAAGCCUGGGAAACUGGGGCUAAUACCGGAUAGGACGAUCUGUUGGAUGCCAUUGGGUAGAGAGUUUUCGGGGUGGGGUAGGCUCUCGGGCUAUCUGCGUGUUGGUGGGGGGAUGGCCUACCAAAGGGUCGACGGGGGGCCGGCCUGGGAGGGUGUACGGCCACAUUGGGGCUUGGAUUCGGCCCAGAACUCCACGGGGGGGAGGAGGGGGGAAAAUUGCACCAUGGGGGGGAGCCUGAUGCCGGGAAGCCGCGUGGGGGAUGACGGCCUUCGGGUUUGAAACCCGUUUCGCUAGAGACGAAGCGGUUUUGUGCCGGUACCUGGAGAAGAAGCACCGGCUAACUACGU